rnacentral:rRNA from 1 species
GGUGAUCGGGAUAACAGUGGGAAACCGCUGCUAAUACCGGAUACGAUCCGCUUAACCGUGGAUGAAAGGGGGCCUCUGCUUGCAAGCUCUCGCACCCAAAUGAGCCCGCGUCCCAUUAGCUAGUUGGCGGGGUAAUGGCCCACCAAGGCAACGAUGGGUAGCUGGUCUGAGAGGAUGAUCAGCCACACUGGGACUGGAACACGGCCCAGACUCCUACGGGAGGCAGCAGUGGGGAAUAUUGCGCAAUGGGCGAAAGCCUGACGCAGCGACGCCGCGUGAGGGAUGAAGGCCUUCGGGUCGUAAACCUCUGUCUGGGGGGAAGAAGUGCACAUGGGUCAAUACCCCGUGUGUUUGACGGUACCCCCGAAGGAAGCACCGGCUAACUCCGUGCCAGCAGCCGCGGUAA